rnacentral:tRNA from 1 species
GACGUUAGCUCAGAGGUAGAGCGGUGGCGCGUCCACUGGUCGCCGGUUCGACUCCGGCACGUC